AGUUUAGCUCAACUGUCACACUCCAUGAGAACCCAAAAUAUAAGCUUGUUUUUCUCCAAUGUUUGUAAACAAUGUAAAUGUAAACAACCACUUUAUAGUCUCAUAACAUGGUUAAAACAAUCAUUUUUAUAUCAUGGGAUGGUCAGUCCAUAGCUCUGUCUAUUAAUCUGAGAGCGGUUACAUGUCUCCAGGCCCAUCCCUCAGCUUUUUAACAAAACAGAGGCGGGGUGUCUGUUUUGUUAUUGUUUCAUCCGUAGAUUUGCCCUUUAAACAGCUGCAUAUUAUCAAGAUAUCAAAGUGUCACCAACAAAAAGGUAAACAAUAGGCCUAUAGCAAAUGCUGUCACGAAUCCCGUUUCCUGAGUCUGUUUUUUUUGCCUGUGUUCUGUCCUGGAGUGUUUUUUCCGGCGUCCUGGAACGCACCCUGUCUGGUUGCCGGGCAUCGUGGCCAGUUGGGAGUUCUGAUUACCCGCACCUGUAUCCCAUCAGCUAUCUGCACACCUGGUCCUGAUCAUCAUCUCUCCUCUUCAUAAGCCCGGACCUGACAUCCAUUCCCUGCCGGAUCGUUAGCAAUGAACAUUACUCACCCGGAUCAUUUACCCCAUUCCCACCUGGUCGUCGGAGGAUUCCGCUACCCCAUUGGAUCCACCUAUUUACUCCCAUCAACUCACCACCGCUGCCCGCUACGCCACCUGGAUAUAUCUUCACAUUCACUUGUAAAUAAAUACUCACCUUCUUCCUACUCUCCUUGUCCUGGUCUGCUUCUGGGUUCGAUUUUGAAAGAACGUGACAAAUGCAGCAUAUAGCAUUCAUUUUCCACAUGUAAAUAGUACUUUUCAGUAGUGCUCAAAGCAUGUCAUUCCAUGAGCGCAGCAUUUAUUUUUCAACUGGAAUCAAUGAUCCCAAUCAGUCCUCCAUGACAACAAAAUCAUAAACAACAGAGUAGGGCUGGCUAAUAAGUCCUUAGUUUUGGUCAUGCUCAGGUUAAACAAUUAGGCUAAUCUAAGUCCUAUUCUUGAAGAUCAAGGGGUAUAACAUUUAUUGGAAUGACUGGAAUUUUAAUAUACUUUGGUUUUUAAUGAUAUAAUUUAAUUGUAUUAAGUAUUAAGCAAUGGGUUAGAAGCCUACAUAACCAACCCAUAAAGUAAAAUUUUACAUCCAUAGAUGGCCAGCUAAUCAAACUUUAACAUUGAUUUAUCCUGCAAAAGAUGUCGUUCAAUUGGUAACAUUUUUGUCUUCUAAUGCCUCUUAAAGGGAAAGUAAUCUAAAAGUAAUGGAAUGUAAUCAGAUUAUGUUACUGAGUUUGGGUAAUCCAAAAUGUAUAUUACUGAUUACAAUUUUGGACAGGUGACUUGUAACUAACAUAUUACAUUUAGAAAGUAACCUGCCCAACCCCGUAACACGUAUUAUUUGACAAGUGUUUUUCUGUCCAUCCACAGAAACCUUGACUAGGCCUACUGGUCAGUUAACUGAAAAAUCCCUUCAGAUACAUUGUUCAUUAGUGUUAACAAUCAGGUACUGUAUCUGCCAUGUCUCUCGCUUUGCCUCUUAGAAAUAGGCCAACACUAGCCAUAUUUAUGACUAAAAACCUAAACAAAGAAUGUAGCUUGUAAGACGUAUUCUCUUUUUAGUCAUAAAUGGUUAAGGCCUACAUGUCCUUAUCAUCCUGUUACGGAUACAGUUAUCCUGUGUGUGUGUAUCCUGUGUGUGUUUCUUUUCUCUCCUUCUCCCCUCACAGGUGAAAAUCAUCACUCCCCAAUCAGUCAACAAUCAAUCAUCAAUCAGAAGACACACCUAUUUCCUACCCUAUCACAGUUCCUUCCCCAUGGUUUAAAAACCCCAUCAUUUGUUUGCUCUGGAGCAAUCUCUAGCUCAAUCUCUAGCUCAAUCUCUCUGUAAAUGCCAUGUCUGUAGGUCUCUGUGUUUCACUCUCGCUUUGUGUCUUAACCUCUCUUUUGUUUAAGCACCUCAUAGCACUUUGUCAUCACCUGUGAGUAUUGUUUUUGGUUAUGGUGUUUUGUUUGCUGGUGGGAAAAGGUGGAAACCAAGACAAGUCGCCCAUGGGCAUACACUACCCGUAGGUGAACUUUGUUAAAUACACUAGUUAGAACUGGGCGGACCACCCACUGUAUUUUUGGUUAGUUAGUUAGCUGUUGUUAAAGUAGGCUAGUCUAGCUUAGGGGUGUUUUUGAAUACUUAUUGUUUCUUUCCUUGGGUCCAGCUCAGCCCCUUUUCCUGCUCCCCCCAUUACCGUGUGUUUAAAUAAACCUGGAGUUUGACGGUA